UUUACCUCACUUUUGGUAAACAGUUCCAGCUUCGUCUCUUGGAGAUUCCAGAAUGGCUUUGAUGAAAAUACUGGUCGUGAGGGGUCUCCAGGGGACCACUACAGCCACUGAAGAGUCCCUAGUGGUGGUGGUCGUCUCCUAAGCCAGUAUUGUCUGCGGCAGUUUCUCUCCUCUUCCUUCCCAGAAGUGCUCCUUCAGAUACAUAGCUGGUAGAAAGUACAAUUUCUCGUGGUGCGUGAAUACUAACGGGCACAGCUGGGAUAAAGGCAAAUGGUGGUAUGCAGUUCAUGUGGACAACGAGCGAGGCACGACGGUCUGGCAGUGGUCAUCCUGUUACCCUACACAAUCUGGUCUCACUGAAGGCUCGGGCGACCACUGCCAGAGAGCAAAGCAUGGACUCUUGGGGUACUGAAGAACAUGUAUAACGACGGAAUAAAGUUGCACGACAUUGCCUGUCACGACGUAGUCUCGUCUGUGGGAGCAGCCUUUGAUAUAUUGCUAUUGCAGACAAUGUGCUGGUUUCCCGAAUGAUGUAAAAUAAUAAAAUUGCUAAAUUGGUAUAUAAUCUUGAAUACCUUAGGCAUAAUGUCUGUUAAUGGUUGGUGUAUAUAAAAGCUGGCACAAAGAAUCUAAAAGACUUAGAGUAGAAAUAGCCUAAGCUACUCUAUCCCUUUGAGUUUUAUUUUUUUCCUUUGUCUCGAUGAACAUACUUGAAUGUAAAAGUAAAUAAAAGU